rnacentral:rRNA from 1 species
UACAGAGGUCUCAAGCGUUGUUCGGAUUCAUUGGGCGUAAAGGGUGCGUAGGUGGCGCGGUAAGUCGGGUGUGAAAUCUCGGAGCUUAACUCCGAAAUUGCAUUCGAUACUGCCGUACUUGAGGACUGGAGAGGAGACUGGAAUUCAUGGUGUAGCAGUGAAAUGCGUAGAGAUCAUGAGGAAGACCAGUGGCGAAGGCGGGUCUCUGGACAGUUCCUGACACUGAGGCACGAAGGCCAGGGGAGCAAACGGG